GUCAGUUCCUGCGCUCUUCGAGAGGGCUGGCUCUGAUAUUUGAGCCGGUCUCUCCCGCUCGGAGGAGAACGGCGAAGUGCUGAAUGGGACAGAAGUCGCGCCGGGCACCUGCUUGCACCCGACGGCGGCCCCGCCGCUGCCCUGCGCCCGAGCGAUCCCCGCGCCGGGCAAGGUGGUAGCAGACCAUGGUUUGGCUCUGAGUUCAGGCAGAUUAUGGUGCCUUUUUCCAGCAAAUGCUAAGAACUGUGCUCCUUCUACACUGGGCUCCCCAUGGCAGCCCAAGGAAGCAAUUUCCAUAGCUGCCCAAGCACCUGCAUCUGCAAUAUGGAAACAGUGCUUUGCUUCUCUCGUUUGCAUGGAAUGAACGAGCUGCAAACACUUCACACGUGUAUAUAUCGUGUAUCUGAAAAUGUUCAUCGUAAUCAGUUAUCUCGGAUUCUUAGAAGGUUUUUCAGGUGAAAAUAUACAAAGUCUGAAGUGCUGCUGGAUCCAAUGUAGAAUUCAGAACUUCUGGGGUAUUGAUUGAAUCCAGUCUAGAGACAGAAAACAUUACUUUC
rnacentral:lncRNA from 1 species